GUAGACAUGAGGGCCCUAGUGCAGCUCCUCAGCUUCCUGCUCCUCUGGCUCCCAGGUGCCAGGGGUGACAUCCAGAUGACCCAGUCUCCAUCUGUGUCGGCUUCUCUGGGAGAUAAAGUCACCAUCACUUGCAAGGCCAGUCAGGGCAUUAGCAAUUAUUUGGACUGGUAUCAGCAGAAACCAGGGGAAGCUCCUCAACUACUUGUCUAUUAUGCAACAAACUUGCAUUCUGGGGUCCCUUCCCGAUUCAGUGGCAGUGGAUUUGGCACAGAUUUCACUCUCACUAUCAGCAGCCUAAAGUCUGAAGAUGCAGCAACUUAUUACUGUUACCAGUGGGAUAGUUCUCCUCACACAGUGAUACAGGCCAAAACAUAA